CCUACGGGAGGCAGCAGUGAGGAAUAUUGCACAAUGGGCGCAACCCUGAUCCAGCCACGCCGCGUGAAUGAAGACGGAUCUCGGUAUUUUAAGCUCUAUCUGCAGGGAAGAAAAUGCCGGUACGUGACUCAGAAUCCCCGGCUAACUACGUGCCAGCAGCCGCGGUAAUACGUCGGCGGCCAGCGUUAUCCGGAUUUAUUGGGUGUAAAGGGAGCGUAGAGGGUAUGACAAGUCUGAAGUGAAAGCCCGCGGCUCAACUGUGGGACUGCUUUUGAAACUGCCCGGCUAGAGUGCUGGAGAGGUAGGCGGAAUUCCUAGUGUAGCGGUGAAAUGCGUAGAUAUCAGGAGGAACACCAGUGGCGAAGGCGGCUUACUGGACAGUAACUGACGUUGAGGCUCGAAAGCGUGGGGAGCAAACAGGAUUAGAUACCCCGGUAGUC
rnacentral:rRNA from 1 species